GUUCCUGUGUUAAACCCUCCAAAUAAUUUCAACACUAAUCCGACAAAAAUAAUAAAGCAAUCAGCUCUCAGUUUUAUUCUGAGAGCUCCAUAACCCAUAACCCACAGGUCACAGCAGGCCCGACUGCAUUAGAAACCUUUAAGACAGGGAAAACGCAGCAGCACAUACUGUGCUCCAUCUACACAGCAGCUGCAAAUUACAUGAUCAGUGUCCUGAUAUAUGCGCAAACAGAUGUAAAUAUAAAAGUUCAUUACUUUGCUUUCCAGAUGGUCAAAAUUCCUUCAGUUGAGAGGAAUUUGACUUGGUGUGUGCACGAGCCUGUGUAAUUCAUUUCAGAUUAUUUUUAACUUUUCCUUCCCAGUAGCAAAAAAGCUGCCCUAAGCAAAAGCUACCAAAAUACUGUAAGGUGAAAGGGAAAGUUAUCACUGAAAUUCUGUGGAUUUAUGGUAAGGGAAAGGCAGGGCUACGGGAGAAAUGGACCCAAAUGACACGCUGGGAUUUCCAGCAAGGUUGGCUCAGAGUCGCUGGCAGUGAGAAAUUUGUUCAGCGCUGACACAGGCAGACAGCACGACCUUGAGUUCAUGGAAGCCAUGCACAUUGGGAAACAACAGGAGUGACUCACAAAAGUGUUGGCUCAGCUUUGGUAGGUAGAUGUAAUUCAAUUGACUUCUUUGCAGUUAGCUCUAUCGGGUGAUUUUUUCUCUGCAUGAAUGUUAAAAUACCUAUGUUACUUUCUGUCUGAAAACAGCUUUGUACUGAUCACAAUGUUGUCUCCUCAGCCUUGCUCUCAAAUGUGCUGUGUGCUUGUGGCCUGCCAAGGCACCUGCCCUGCCCUUUUGCAGCACCCAUGUUUUUGUGCCGCUUGAACAAGUGUCCAUGCAUUUAUAGGUCCCACAAUUCUCUUUCCACUUUUACAGAGCAUCAUUCUGAAGCAGAUUUUCUGCAAGUAUUGCUACUCUUCUGCUCCUGUGUGUUUUUCUUCAGAUCUUCAGAGUUACCUGUUCUUGGCCAUUCACCAGCUGGUGGGUUUUGUGAGGUUAUCAGGCACAGAUGGAGAAUCUCACUUCCAGAAGCCAUCAACAUGAGGAUGUCUUCAAUGAGGAUGUCUU
rnacentral:lncRNA from 1 species